rnacentral:lncRNA from 1 species
GUGGAAGGUGGCCAGACUCGAUUUGUGUUUUUAGCAGACCCCUGCAGUCAGGACUUGGGAUCUGGACCACAGGAAGGGAGAGCGACAGCUGGGCUGUGACUAUUUUCACUGCAAGGCACCUGGGAAGGGGAGAGGGCGUGAAGCGGCCCGGACGUGGCUUUCCAUUGGUGACCUCGUGCCCCACUCUCCACUGCCCAGCCACGGCCCGGAGUGAUGAGCCACCUCCGCUCUGACCUCACCUCCUCCCAGCUCCCUGACUCCUUCAGCGGGGGGCCUGGCCAGCUUGUUCAGCCACUCUGGGCUCCAGGCUCUUCAGCUGGAAAGAGAUGCUUGUGGAGUUCCUCCUGGCAAGUCUGGGCAAGCCAGCCUGACGGCCAGCCUGCGACUCCUUGUCCAGAACUCUGUCAACUCCACCAGUGCCUCUCACGGCAACCGCAUGGCCACCAGCUUCAGGUGACAGGCCUCUUGCCUGGGUGAUGAGCUUCCCAGGCCCAUGCUAUGGUGUGCGCUUUUUCACAGGAAG